UACUUGAUGAAGCACAAGCAUGCUUCUUGAAGUGGGCCCAGCAGAGAAAGGGCUUCCUGCAUUUCUGCUGUACGAAGCUGAAGAUCUGGGCUAUGCCUAUGGACUUUAUCAGAGAGAUCUUGAAUGUCUUUCACCCAGAGAACAUCGAGGAAUUGGAACUGAACACUGAGUGGAAUGUCUUCCAGCUGGCCCAUUUUACUCCCUUCUUUGGGCAAAUGAGAAAUCUUCGCAAACUGCUCCUGGCACCCCUCUACAAGAAUGUAUUCAAGAUUGCCAAUAGAACAGGAGAGAGAGAGGACAAGUGUGUCAAGGGUUUCAUUUCUAUGUUCUCAAAAUUCAAUUGUCUCCAGCAUCUCUCCUUGAGUGGCGUCCAUUUUCUUAGAGACCACAUGAAUCAGGUCUUCAGGAGCCUGAUGACACCCUUGGUGAAACUCUCCAUCAUGCACUACCGAAUUUCACAGAAAGACUUGGAUUCCUUCUCCUUCUGUCAGAGCCUCUUUCACCUUAAACAUCUGGAGAUGAGAGGUGUGACCCUAAGUUCUUUGGAUAUUAUGCCUCUGAGAAGUCUCGUGGAGAAAGUGGCAGAUAAAAUUCAGACUCUGGAUUUGCAGGGGUGUAGAAUGAAAGACUACCAGCUCAAUGCCCUCCUACCUGCCCUCACACGAUGCUCUCAGCUCACCAAGAUUAACUUCUACAACAAUGACUUCUCCAUGGCCAUCCUAAAGGACUUUUUGCAGCACACUGCCAACUGGAGAAAAAUCAAUGUGGAACAAUACCCUGCCCCUCUGGAGUGCUAUGAUGAGUUAGCUCAUGUCUGCAGAGAAAGGUUUGCCCAACUUUGUCUGGAGCUCAUGGAUACACUUGGGACAAUAAGGCAGCUCAAGAGCAUUUCUUUUGCUACAAAUAUGUGCCACAAAUGUGGUAUGCAGUGUGUCUAUGGACGGGAGAACAGAACUUGUAGUUGCCGGCUGUAAACUUGGGUACAUGACUACUAGAUAUGAAUAAAUGACAGGAUCCUGACACAACUCUCACCUGGGGUGCUCACUGAUUGUGAUUUCAGACACUGUUUAGAUGGUUGAAAACAAAAAUCAUGUACAGAGACUGGGAUCUUGGAAGCUAAGCUUGAAAAGGGAAACUGUCUGAUGGACUGUGGGAACAGGGGCCUUGUGGAGUCAGAAACACAACUGGGACAUUUUCACGAUCCGUAUUCUGGACAGAGUACCUAUAGUCUUUGUAGUUUACUUUUCAACUUUUUGUCCUUCGCUGAAUUCAGUGAACAACUAGAGCAUAUGUUCUUUUUUACACGUCAUUAAUGUUGUCAUAGUUGAAUAAAGUAUCCAAAUUUAAGGAUUCUGUAACAAAUACCGUCUGGAGAGGGGUAAAAUGAACAAGUUAGCGCAUUUGUGUUCUCUUAGGGUCUGUAUGACAUCUGUCCAGGAUCUUCUGGC
rnacentral:lncRNA from 14 species